rnacentral:tRNA from 1 species
UAGCUCAGUUGGUAGAGCAUGAGACUCCUACUCUCAGGGUUGUGGGUUCAGGCCUGC